UACGUAGGGGGCAAGCGUUGUCCGGAUUUACUGGGCGUAAAGAGCGUGUAGGCGGCCACGCAGGUCCGUUGUGAAAACUGGAGGCUCAACUUCCAGACGUCGACGGAAACCGUGUGGCUAGAGUCCGGAAGAGGAGAGUGGAAUUCCUGGUGUAGCGGUGAAAUGCGCAGAUAUCAGGAAGAACACCCGUGGCGAAGGCGGCUUUCUGGGACGGUACUGACGCUGAGACGCGAAAGCGUGGGGAGCGAACAGG
rnacentral:rRNA from 1 species